UACGGGAGGCAGCAGUGGGGAAUAUUGCACAAUGGGCGCAAGCCUGAUGCAGCCAUGCCGCGUGUAUGAAGAAGGCCUUCGGGUUGUAAAGUACUUUCAGCGGGGAGGAAGGGAGUAAAGUUAAUACCUUUGCUCAUUGACGUUACCCGC
rnacentral:rRNA from 2 species